CACCUCCUCCUCCUCGCAGCUGCUCUGCUCGACCUCUUCAUCGUCGUGGGUGCAGCCGAGCGUCCGCUCGGGUGCAGCUCAACUCCAGUUAAACAGUCACCCUUCUCUUCUUCCUGCCCCCUUCCAAUCCAAAGCUUCUCAUCUUCGUUUGUGCAGUUUUUGUUUCUCUGUGCCUAUAAGGUGUUUGAUGAAAUGCAAAAAAGCUGACAGGGGAGGAUUGAUCUAUGUAAGCAUGUGAUUUCAUGAGGAAAUGGUGACCCCGAAGCCGACUAGGUAGUAGCUCAGGGAUGCUGGGAUGUUUAAUGUUGCUUAUUCAGCAUGGGCCAUCAACCUGUGAUUAUCUACAAGGUAUAUCUAGCACAUCAAUCUACUGGGCUCAGGUCCUGCACAUGGUAUAUCUAGCCCAUCCAUCUACAUGCCAUCUACUUGCUUUCUUCACAAGCGGGAUUGGCUGGAACCUCCUGUUUGUGACGCGGUGCCGCCAAAGGAACCCAAUGCUCCCAAAGUUCUUCUGGUAGAGUCGAUUACUUACUAGCAAUGAUAUUCACAAUGGAAGCCUUUAUAACAGGCUACUUUGAUUUAUUCUCAAACUAUGGCUUAGUUACAAAUGUUUUGGUGGUGACGUUUCAUACACCAGUCCAGUGUUGCUACCCAGUGAUGAGUUGUAUGAAGCACUUUGAAAAAAGUCUUGGAGGUGACGGUUCUACUGUUGCUACUGCUGUGACGGCCAAGGCAUAGGUUGCAGCUCUCUGAGUUUAAGGAGGAAAGGAAGACAUGAUUUUUUCUUGAAGAGGCCUUCAAGUGCGUGUGAAAGUGUAAUAUGCAAGCAUUAUGCGACAAUGACACUGCUUAUUCAUGCGUUCACACCCUCUGAAGACCACAAUCAAACUAA